rnacentral:rRNA from 1 species
UACAGAGGGUGCAAGCGUUGUUCGGAAUUAUUGGGCGUAAAGGGCGUGUAGGCGGUCUGCUAAGUCAUGUGUGAAAUCCCUCGGCUUAACCGAGGAACGACGCAUGAAACUGGCAAGCUAGAGUACCAAAGAGGGGGGUGGAAUUCCCGGUGUAGCGGUGAAAUGCGCAGAUAUCAGGAAGAACACCGAUGGCGAAAGCAGCUCUCUGGGACGGUACUGACGCUGAGGCGCGAAAGCGUGGGGAGCGAACAGG